rnacentral:rRNA from 1 species
AAAGGAAUAGACGGGGGCCCGCACAAGCGGUGGAGCAUGUGGUUUAAUUCGAUGAUACGCGAGGAACCUUACCUGGGCUUAAAUGGGAAAUGACAGUUUAGGAAACUAGACCUUCUUCGGACAUUUUUCAAGGUGCUGCAUGGUUGUCGUCAGCUCGUGCUGUGAGGUGUCGGGUUAAGUCCCAUAACGAGCGCAACCCCUAUUCUUAGUUGCCAGCGAGUAAAGUCGGGGACUCUAAGAAAACUGCCGGUGCAAACCGAGAGGAAGGUGGGGAUGACGUCAAAUCAUCACGGCCCUUACGUCCAGGGCUACACACGUGCUACAAUGGUGCAUACAAAGGGCAGCUAUCUGGUGACAGAAUGCUAAUCUCUAAAGUGCAUCUCAGUUCGGAUCGAAGUCUGCAACUCGACUUCGUGAAGCUGGAAUCGCUAGUAAUCGCGUAUCAGCCAUGACGCGGUGAAUACGUUCCCGGGCCUUGUACACACCGCCCGU